UACAGAGGGUGCGAGCGUUGAUCGGAAUUACUGGGCGUAAAGCGCGCGUAGGCGGCUUUGCAAGUCGGGUGUGAAAUCCCCAGGCUUAACCUGGGAACUGCAUUCGAGACUGCAUUGCUAGAGUAUGGGAGAGGGAAGUGGAAUUUCCGGUGUAGCGGUGAAAUGCGUAGAUAUCGGAAGGAACAUCAGUGGCGAAAGCGACUUCCUGGACCAAUACUGACGCUCAUGUGCGAAAGCGUGGGGAGCAAACAGG
rnacentral:rRNA from 1 species